rnacentral:rRNA from 1 species
CACGUAGGGCGCAAGCGUUGUCCGGAAUUAUUGGGCGUAAAGAGCUCGUAGGUGGUUUGUUACGUCUGCUGUGAAAACCUAGGGCUUAACCCUGGGCUUGCAGUGGAUACGGGCAGACUAGAGGUAGGUAGGGGAGAAUGGAAUUCCUGGUGUAGCGGUGAAAUGCGCAGAUAUCAGGAGGAACACCGGUGGCGAAGGCGGUUCUCUGGGCCUUACCUGACACUGAGGAGCGAAAGCCAGGGGAGCAAACGGG